UACGGAGGGGAGCUAGCGUUGUUCGGAAUUACUGGGCGUAAAGCGCACGUAGGCGGCUUUGUAAGUUAGAGGUGAAAGCCUGGAGCUCAACUCCAGAAUUGCCUUUAAGACUGCAUCGCUUGAAUCCAGGAGAGGUGAGUGGAAUUCCGAGUGUAGAGGUGAAAAUUCGUAGAUAUUCGGAAAGAACACCAGUGGCGAAGGCGGCUCACUGGACUGGUAUUGACGCUGAGGUGCGAAAGCGUGGGGAGCAAACAGG
rnacentral:rRNA from 1 species